rnacentral:tRNA from 1 species
GUUUUAAUAAUUAAAUAAAAAUAUUUGUGUCGUAAACCAAAUUUAAGGGUAACCUUUUAAAACU